CACGUAGGCGGCUUGGUAUGUCGGGUGUGAAAUCCCCGGGCUCAACCUGGGAACUGCAUCCGAAACUGCCUUGCUAGAGUAUGGGAGAGGGAAGUGGAAUUUCCGGUGUAGCGGUGAAAUGCGUAGAUAUCGGAAGGAACAUCAGUGGCGAAGGCGACUUCCUGGACCAAUACUGACGCUCAGGUGCGAAAGCGUGGGGAAGCAAACA
rnacentral:rRNA from 1 species